rnacentral:rRNA from 1 species
AUGGCGCUAUCGUCUGCUCCUCCCUGUCCCGGUCAGGAACCGCCGUCCGGGAAGCAGCUCAGCUACCAGCUCGCCGCUGCUGUGAGGAGCAUCAACUGGACUUACGCCAUUUUCUGGUCCUUGUCCACCGGCCUGCGCCCACCUGGGUAA